GCCGGGCGUGGUGGCUCACGCCGGUAAUCCAAGCACUUUGGAGGCUAAGGCGGGUGGAUCACCUGAGGUCGGGAGUUCAAGACCAGCCUGACCAACAUGGUGAAAACCCGUCUUUA
ensembl:misc_RNA Metazoa_SRP Metazoan signal recognition particle RNA